UUAAUACUGGUUAUAAAAAAAGGGAUUAAAUUUGCUAUGGAUGAUUGAUUAUUGCCAAUAUAUAAACAAUUUUAUACAAUGUAUGUAAAUACAUAUAUUUCAAAUAGGUAUACAUACAUACAUACACGCACGUAAGAGAUUGAAUAAAGACCAUAUAUUAGAGUCACACCAGGCAACUUUGACAAUUGAGUGAUAAACCGGCAAAACUGCGGGUAAACACAAGCCAUAAACAAGAAUUCUGCAGACACCUACCAUAUACAUACAUAUAGGCGCAUCGACUUGUUUGUUUUCAAAAUUAAGCACGCAUACACUUAAAUACAAGCGAAUAAUUCACUUAUUCACAUUAUGUAGAUGUACAUAUAUACUACUAUGUAUUUGUUGGGACAACUUGUAUGUAUAUCUAGAAUUCCGCUGGCUUUCUGUACCGCGCCAGCUAAGGCGAAACCACCAGAGUCAGAUAGCAAAUGAAAGUCAUAACAAAAAUUGCGCAGCAGAAAAUUCAAUAUAUAAACGUGCUCGAAGCAGUAUAUUGCAAAUAAACAAAAGCUAUAGCGAGUUGGAAAACAAAAUAAAAAAUAAAGUAUAAGUAAAAAUUGUAAAAUUGAAAAUAAAAGGUAAGUGUAAAAGAAAAUAAAUAUAUUCGUAAAAAGAAAAAAAUAUAUGUAUGUAUAAGCGAAAAAAAAAAAUAUAAAAAAAGCAAAAGCUAUAAAUGUUCAAACAAGACGAACCAGUUGCGUCGUGACGAGUUGGAACAAAUGGAGGCCAAACGAAUGAACGAGCGACGAGAACGAGUCAACAAUGAUGGCAACAAAUAGCCGGCGAAAUAUAUGUAGGCAUGUGUGCAGAAAAAGUACACAAUGAUUAUGCAAUCGCUGCGAUAAUAAUAACAAUGUGAAGAAAUAAUAUAUAUAUAAUUCAGUAUAUAUUAUACAUACAUAUUUAUAUAUACACACAUGUACAUAUUUACUUCUUUUGCGCUAUUUGGCUGCGCAAAUGUCGAAGAAAAUUAAAACUCGGCGAAAAGCAACAAUGACUUCGGUUGUGUGAAUUUCUAAAUAGCAAAAAUAUUUUAAACUACUAGUUCUAUUUAUGCCAGUGAGCUAGACCACAACAAGUUAUGCCUUGGGAGGCCUUAUAUAAGCCAGCUAUAAUUGCUUGAAAACACAAUUAAAAUAACAUUUGUAUGUACAAGUAUGUAUACAGAAGUAUUCAGCAUGCAGUGUGCGAAAUAAGAAAAAUGAUUAAAAGCAAAAAAGCCGGCCGGCGAAUGCAAGCGUAUAAUAUUCAUCCAUGUGCAUAUAUAAUCUGAUGUUUGUGAACUGAAGCGGCACGACAUCAACAAACAAAGCGCUAAUUUACAUUUGCUCACUCUAUGGCAAAAAAUAAAUAAAAAUAAUGACAAAUUUAGAAAUUAGUAAGUUGUAAACAUGUGAACAAAAAUGUUUCUGUAUGAGUAUUUGAAUUUAUGAGGGUUUUAAAACUAUUAACUGAUUAUAAAAAAAAAGACAUUCAAUUUAUCUCGGAACAAAAUGGAAUUUGAGAACAGAUUUGAGAAUUUUUAAAACUUUUACCAUAUACAUAUAGUAUGAUUCUGAAGCUUUAUUAAGCUUUUAAAAGUUAUCUAAGGACAUAAAAAAUAUGAAUCACAAUUUGGAGGAAAUCCAAAUCUAAUCUAGCGAAAAGCACUCCAAAAAUGAGACGAAAAACCUAAAAUUCGCUAAAGGCACUGAGGCCAUACCAACCAGCCGAAGCUCAGUAGCCGAUUUUGAGGGCUAUAGUAAUGAUUUGUAUUAAAAUAUGUGGAAAUGUAGUUUUUGU